CUCAGGAUCUGAGUCAGUACUGCCAGAUGUCUGCCAGAGAGUGGGGAAGAGAAGGGAACAGCACAGGGCCCCCCUCCAUCCCCUACCUAUUAGUGAAGAUCCGUUCGGCAGAGUAGCUGUCGACAUUAUUGUUGCGCAGGCACUUUGGCGACUCUAGAGAACCUCGGGCCAAUCGCACGUCCCCGUGACAGCGACUUUGCAUUCAGAUGCCUGCCCUUUGAACUUUCAAUGCCACUUUCUGCACCUACCAUAGUGACUAUGGUUAACGGGGAAUCAGGGUUCGAUUCCGGAG